rnacentral:lncRNA from 1 species
AAAGUUGAUUAGAAACGUGGAAAAGUGAGUUUUCAUGAAAGGGUGAAUAUUUGAAAAGAACAAGAAACAAGAAUCACCCCUUGAAACCAUAGAGCAAAGAAGAAGAAAAAAAAAAGCAAAUAAAAUGCUCAUGGUUGUGUGGAUUGUAAAAAGAGAAAGAAAAAGAUACGGAUCAAAGAAAGGGAAAUUGUGUAGAGUUGGA